rnacentral:lncRNA from 1 species
GAAAUUACGAAGGCAGCCUUCUCAGCCUCUACUCUCCUGCUAGGGACCAAUAGAGGUAUAGGAAAUUACAAAGGCAGCCUUCUCAGCCUCUACUCUUCUGCUAGGGACCAACAGGUGGGUCCCAUAGUAAUUAGGGGACAGAGGAUGGGACUGCUCCCAUUAUACCCGUGUCCCCAGGGAUCCUGCGACUCCCGGGUGCGUGGCUCGAGGGCAAGGCGGGAGACUGGGGCUCCUCGACCCUUUGCUCUGGCACCGCCGCUUGUGUCAGGGGUAGUUGGGCACCUUGAAUGCGCCAUCAAUGCCGUUGGUGUCACGCGCCCUAGAUGCCAUCAUGUUGUUAGAGGCCUAGGGAAUGGGACUGACUUUCUCCCCCUGAGGCUUACUCCUGGAGCCCCUCGAGGGCUCCGCAAAGGGGACCUUCGCUAG